rnacentral:rRNA from 1 species
GAUGAACGCUAGCUACAGGCUUAACACAUGCAAGUCGAGGGGAAACGACAUCGAAAGCUUGCUUUUGAUGGGCGUCGACCGGCGCACGGGUGAGUAACGCGUAUCCAACCUGCCCAUCACUUGGGGAUAACCUUGCGAAAGUAAGACUAAUACCCAAUGAUAUCUCUAGAAGACAUCUGAAAGAGAUUAAAGAUUUAUCGGUGAUGGAUGGGGAUGCGUCUGAUUAGCUUGUUGGCGGGGUAACGGCCCACCAAGGCAACGAUCAGUAGGGGUUCUGAGAGGAAGGUCCACCACAUUGGAACUGAGACACGGUCCAAAAUCCUACGGGAGGCAGCAGUGAGGAAUAUUGGUCAAUGGGCGAGAGCCUGAACCAGCCAAGUAGCGUGCAGGAAGACGGCCCUAUGGGUUGUAAACUGCUUUUAUAAGGGAAUAAAGUGAGAGUCGUGACUCUUUUUGUAUGUACCUUAUGAAUAAGGACCGGCUAAUUCCGUG